ensembl:lncRNA
CCCACUUCCAGACCAACUUCCGGGUGUGUCAGCCGCCCUUCCCCCACCGUCGCCGGCGGGAACCGCCCGUCUUCUCCGCCAGCAGCUUCCGCCUGCCGCAGUACCGGCACGCGCUCUGGGGUCCCGCCCCUUCCCAGGGAUAGUGACCGGGCGAGCGCGCGCCUCGCGGUACCGAAGACAUCUGAGCACGGGCCAGGGCUUCGGCACCAGAAGCGGGUUGUGAUGGUGCUGGAGAAGACCCUUGAGAGUCCCUUGGACAGCAAGAUCAAACCAGUCAAUCCUAAAGGAAAUCAACCGUGAAUAUUAACUGGAAGGACUAUGCUGAAGCUCCAAUAUUUUGGCCACCUGAUGUGAAGAGCUUACUCAUUGGAAAAGACCUUGAUGCUAGGAAAGAUUAAGGGCAGGAGGGAAAGGGGGUAACAGAAGAUGAGAUAGUUGGAUGGCAUCACCAACUCAAUGGACAUGAGUUUGAGAAACUCCAGGAGAUGGUGAAGGACAGGGAAGCCUGGCAUACUGCAGUUCAUAGAAUUGCAAGUAGUCAGAUACAGCUUAGCGACUGAAAAACAAUGGUGACCUCCAAGAGGGCUCACACUAAGGGGCACUUCCUGGGACUGCUGCUGCUAGUGCCCCCAUCCCUGCAGCGAGCCACUGCUGACCCACGACUCCGCAGGAGUUCAUCGAACACUAGAUGGUUGGUCUGGUUCAGUCUCCUGUGGGGUCACUGCUCCUUUCCUCUCAGUCCUGGCGCACACAAGAUUUUGUUUGUGCCCUCCAAGUGUGAAGUCUCUAUUUCUCUCAGUCCUAUGGAAGUCCUGCAAUCAAAUCCUGUUGGCCUUCACAGUCAGAAUCCCUGGGGAUUCCUAGUCCCUUUGCUGGAUCCCCAGGCUAGGACACUCAGAACCAUCACAAGAGUGGGAGAACUUCUUUGAUAUUAGUGUUCUCCAGUUUGUGGGUUGCCUGCUAGGCGGGUAUGGGAUUUAACUUUAUCGUGAUUGUGCCCUCCCCCCACCAUCUCGUUGUAGCUUCUCCUUUGUCUUUAGAUGUGGGAUAUCUUUUUUUGGUGGGUUCCAGCAUCCUCCUGUCCAUGGUUGUUCAAAAGCUAGUUGGUGCUCUCACAGGAGAUGGGCACAUGUCCUUGUACCCUGCCAUCUUGAACCAGUCAACCCUGAAGACAAGACUAUAAGUGAGUGAUUAUAAACAGUGAUUGCAGAAACUGAUUCAUGAUGGAGUUUAAGAAGUAGCCAAAAAUGUCAAGAGUUGCAGAGAAGGGAAUAAGAACUGAGAAGAGAUGGUGUUCAUCUAGUGAUAUUUAUAGAAGCAGUUCAUGAAUAAGAACCUUGGAAUUCUUUCAUCUAUUUUAUGGGUCAACUUUGUAACUGAAUUUUAAGUUCAAAAUUCCAGUUGCCAAGGAGAGCAAGUCUGUCCAGUUUGGGUCAGAUAUCCACACCUGCUUCACUCAGCCAUGCAGUUUAGACUACAAGUUACAUGUGUUGAAUGGUGCUGCUGUUCCGUCCCUGUGCUGGGGAGGGAGACAUCACUGUGAGCCCUGUGUUUGAGCUAAGAGGGAGGUAUCCAUUGUAUUUUACUAUUUAGUUGCUUUUCCCCACAUGUAUGAUGACAAAAAUGUCUUCAGCCUGCCUACUUGAUCCAGUCAUUCUAUUACAACAGCCCCUGCUCUUGCCCUCUUUCAG